UACAGAAAGAGACAUUUUAACAACGUUAAAACAUAUUACUGGCACGUGGACCCUUAAAUCAGAGUGAAUAAAUGAAGACUCGGCACAGCACUUCUGAAAGGUUGCCAACCCCUGCUUUAAAGGGACCUUCCUACUUUGAUUUUUUCCAGUGGUAACCAAUUCUUGAAGAUAUUAUGGCCUUUUGUCAGUUUCCAAAACUAGUUCUAGACAUUUAACAGAUGAAAGCACUCACAAUUCAAGCAAACUUGUUAAAUAAUUGAAUCUGACUACACAGGAGUCAAGAAACGAAAACUAUCCACCUUGAUGUGUCCUUGGGAUUAGAGGGAGUUCAAGUCCCCAUUUCUUAUGAAAAUGGAGUUAUUCAAGGUUAUGCACCUCUACCUUGAUAUAACGCAACCCAAUAUAACACAAAUUCAGAUAUAAUGCGGUAAAAGCAGUGAUCUGGGUAGCAGGGCUGCGCAUUCCAGCGGAUCAAAGCAAGUUCGAUAUAACACAGUUUCACCUAUAACACGGUAAGAUUUUUUGGCACCCGAGGACAGCAUUAUAUUGGGGUAGAGGUGUAUUGAACUCUAUGGACCAGACUUCAGUACAUAUUACAGUUUAAGAUAUACAAAGAAGUGUAAAUUAAACAGAAUGCAAACCAAAGCAUGUUAAUCCAAGAAGUCAUUAAUACAAUCUCUAGUGGGUUUAUCAGUAUGCCACAGAUAAAAAAUUCUGACUGAAUGUCAACUCUUACUUCUCUACAAACAAUGUCUAUGAAAACUAAACAAUUCUCACCCAGUAUUUUGUAGUUUACAGGGUACUAUAGAAACCUGAGACAAUUAAUCUCAAUGAUGAAAAGCUUAACUUUUUGUUUGUCUGUACGACGGUCUGGGGAAAAAAGGUGGGUUUUUUUUGUUUUUUUUUUUCUUAGAAAGACAAGAUGGGUGAGG